GCAGGUAUAGCUCAGUGGCAGACUGUGUGCUUAGCGUGCACAAGGUCCUGGGUUCAAUCCCCAGUGCCUCCA
rnacentral:tRNA from 1 species